UUGUAAUUGAAGAUGAUACUCUUGAGACAGAAAAUAUUGGAGGGGGAGUUACGAAUGCCGAUCGAGAAGUGAUAGUUGAAGAUAUUGAAGAAGAGGGUGAUGAUUUGAGUGAUCUAGAGGUUCCUAUUGCUCUAAGGAAAGGUAUAAGAAAUUGCACAAAAUAUCCGAUUGCUCGACAAAUCAGCUAUGAUGGUCUUAGCAAUUCUCACAGAGCAUUUAUAUCUGCUCUUGACGAGGAACAAAUACCUAAGAAUAUUGAAGAAGCUAUGAAACAUCCAAAAUGGAGAAGUGCUCGAAGAAGCUAUGAAACAACCAAAAUGGAGAAGUGCUGUCAUGGAGGAAUUACGAGCUUUGGAGAAAAAUAAAUACAUGGGACAUUGUCUCACUUCCGAAUGGAAAGAACACAGUUGAUUGUAAGUGGAUCUUCACCAUUAAAUAUAGAGCAGACGGGUCGAUUGAAAGAUAUAAAGCUAGGCUGGUGGCUAGAGGUUUCACCCAAGCAUACGGCGUGGAUUAUGAUGAAACCUUUGCACCAGUGGCAAAGCUCAACAGUAUAAGGGUGUUGUUUUCUCUUUGUCCCUGAAAUCAGCCCUGUAUUGGCCGUUACAUCAACUUUAUGUGAAGAAUGCUUUUCUUAACGGA
rnacentral:lncRNA from 1 species